AGUGAACGCUGGCGGCAGGCCUAACACAUGCAAGUCGAACGGCAGCACAGGAGAGCUUGCUCUCUGGGUGGCGAGUGGCGGACGGGUGAGGAAUAUAUCGGAACCUACCCUUUCAUGGGGGAUAACGUAGGGAAACUUACGCUAAUACCGCAUACGAACUGAGGUUGAAAGCGGCGGACCGCAAGGCGUCGCGCGGAUGGAUGAGCCGAUAUCCGAUUAGCUAGUUGGCGGGGUAAAGGCCCACCAAGGCGACGAUCGGUAGCUGGUCUGAGAGGAUGAUCAGACACACUGGAACUGAGACACGGUCCAGACUCCUACGGGAGGCAGCAGUGGGGAAUAUUGGACAAUGGGCGCAAGCCUGAUCCAGCCAUGCCGCGUGUGUGAAGAAGGCCUUCGGGUUGUAAAGCACUUUUGUUGGGAAAGAAAAGCGGUCGGUUAAUACCCGGUCGUUCUGACGGUACCCAAAGAAUAAGCACCGGCUAACUUCGUGCCAGCCGCCGCAGUAAGAC
rnacentral:rRNA from 1 species